rnacentral:rRNA from 1 species
GACAGAGGAUGCAAGCAGUUAUCCGGAAUGAUUGGGCGUAAAGCGUCUGUAGGUGGCUUUUUAAGUCCGCCGUCAAAUCUCAGAGCUCAACUCUGACAUUGCAGUCGAUACGGGCAGGCUAGAGUUCGGUAGGGGAGACUGGAAUUCCUGGUGUAGCGGUGAAAUGCGCAGAUAUCAGGAGGAACACCGGUGGCGAAGGCGGGUCUCUGGGCCGUAACUGAUCGCUGAGGAGCGAAAGCUGGGGAGCGAACAGG